GCGCGCGGCGCGCAGGCGCGGGGCGGGGCGGCUGCAAGCGGCUGGGAGCGGCGGCGGCGGCGGAGGGAGCUGGGGCGCUGCCGCCCGGCCGGUCUGGUUGAGAGUAAGACUCAGAUUCUGAAGUGUUUGAGCAACUUGUUACUGCCCAAGUCAUGACACUCCCAUUUCGAAAGGACUUGGACAAAUACAAAGAUCUUGAUGAGGAUGAAAUUCUUGGCAAAUUGUCAGAAGAAGAACUGAAACAACUGGAAACAGUUUUGGAUGAUCUUGACCCAGAGAAUGCACUUCUGCCUGCGGGCUUCCGACAGAAAGACCAGACUGCUAAAAAGGCUUCAGGUCCUUUCGACAGAGAACGACUCCUUGCCUAUUUGGAGAAGCAGGCUCUUGAGCACAAAGACAGGGAAGACUAUGUGCCUUUUACAAAAGAAAAGAAAGGGAAAAUAUUUAUCCCCAAGCAAAAGCCUGUGCAGUCGUAUGCAGAAGAAAAAAUUGCUCUUGAUCCAGAACUGGAGGAAGCCUUGACUAGUGCCACAGACACAGAACUAUGUGACCUUGCAGCUAUACUGGGAAUGUCCAACUUGAUAACAAACAAUCAGUUCUGUGAUGUAGUAGGAAGCAGUAAUGGGGUAGACAAAGACAGCUUCUCAAAUAUAGUAAAAGGUGAAAAAAUGUUACCUGUUUUUGAUGAACCGCCAAAUCCCACAAAUGUAGAGGAAACUUUGCAGAGGAUUAAAGAUAACGAUUCCCGUCUUGUUGAAGUUAAUCUAAAUAAUAUUAAGAACAUACCAAUUCCAACGCUGAAAGAAUUUGCAAAAGCCCUAGAAACCAACACGCAUGUAAAGAAUUUUAGCCUUGCGGCCACCCGAAGUAAUGAUCCUGUUGCUGUUGCUCUUGCAGAUAUGCUGAGAGUAAACACAAAAUUAAAAAGUUUAAACAUAGAAUCAAACUUCAUCACCGGAGUUGGAAUUUUGGCACUGGUUGAUGCACUGAAAGACAAUGAAACAUUGACAGAGAUCAAAAUUGAUAAUCAGAGGCAGCAGUUGGGCACGCUUGCAGAAGUAGAAAUUGCCAAAAUGCUUGAAGAAAACACCAAGAUCCUUAAAUUUGGAUACCAUUUCACACAACAGGGACCUCGAGCCAGGGCAGCUGCGGCUAUAACAAAAAAUAAUGAUUUGGUCUGGACUAUACGAGUAAAAGUUUCUGCAAAUACCUUUUCGUCUCUCCAGCCCUGAAGCUACAGAGACAGGUUACUCUGAGUACCCAGUUGGGUAUCAAGCACUGAAAACUGAGAUGUUCAAAGCCUCUCAUUUCUGUCUUUUUCGCAAGAGAAGGGUUGAAGGAGACAGCCAGUAGAUCUUGUUAAAACUACAUGGAGAUUUCAAGGGUCUUCAAGGCGUGCUCCUCACUGUGGGCUUUGGCAAUCUUGGACUACAUUUAUCUAGGUUAGAAGGGAAAAGACUGGAAACCCCAUUCCUCUUAAAGCAAAGCUAUAUUAAAAAUCUGCUGGUAUAUACCACGUUUUUUCAGAUUGACACAUUGUAACUGCGCCAGUCUCUGUAACAUAGUUUUGGUUGUUUUUUUAAAGAACUUUUUUGUAUUUCAGGACCUCGGCUGUGCUUUCUAGUAAAAAUGUAAUCACGAAUCAGUGGUAUAAUUGUCUGUAGCCAAAGAAUGGGACACUCAAGAUCAUUGGGCAGAUAAUGACCCAAUUGAAAUGGUUGUCAGAAAAUCUAGGGGUGCUUAUUUACAUGGAGGUGUGUGUAUAUUCUUGAGAACAAUGCUUUAGUAGCAAGGGAUUCAUCACACAAUAGUUGGACUCAUUGUGUAGAGCUGUUCAUCCUUGUUCAUAUGCACUGAAGAGAAAUCUUUCACAACUUUUAUUUGUGAUUCUUUUUUAUUUUUGGUUCAUUCUCGGUACUGUGAUUAAGUGUAAACAUCCCUUAAAAGCAAGCAAAAAUAAAUUGUCUAAAGACCUUUUUCCCAAGAGAUUUGAGGGACCGAUUAAAAAAAGGAGAAAGAAGAAAAUGGGAGCCUUGCCAAAAAAGUAGAAGCCUUUCAAAGUGACUUUUUUUACUAGACAUAAGUCCCAAAAGUCUCUUUAAAAAAUGUCCUUUAACUGUAUCUUGCUCUGUAUCUAAACUGGAUGUUUUUAGACUGCUAUCAUGUGCUCAUCAGCAUUUAGUUUAUGUUCUUUGUUUAAAAAUCCUUAUCUACAUGUGUAACUAGUAUGAACUUCUCUAGAAGUAGGGGACAUGCAUUUGUUAAAUUCUGCACAGUUUCGUAUGGUGAAAAGCAACCUCAUCAGUAAAAUCAGAAUCCUGAGUUGGUGGAAAAUUGAAAAAUCCUUUUUUCAAGCUGUUGCAUUAAAAUAUUAGUGCUUCCUAGAAAUCUGUCGUUUUUUAAUGAAACAAUGAAGCAACACUUUCAAGAAAGGAUCUUUGUUCUACUGAUGUCUUGAUGUUGAAAUGGGACAUAAGACUUGCAGAAAUUAACCAAUAUGCAGUGUCAUAUUUGUAUGUCAUAGUACUUAUUCAAGUAUUUCAAGUUUUAUAUCUAAGGCCACAAGAAUCGCUUCAAUUUCUGUGCAUAAUCACAGUAGACUUCUUUGAAAUAACACAAAUCUGAGGCCUUUUGGUGUGGGUCUGUGUGAACUGUAUUGUACUAGAUUACUCAAUGCUGUCAUGAGAUCAUAAACUCACAACUAAAGGAUUGCUCAGCUAUAUUUAUAGCAACAGAGAAUUCAACUGACAACUGUUUUUCAUUGAAGGAUCAUAAUACGAUGAGUGUUUUAUAUAUAGGCAAUGGAAAGGACUGGGAUUUUUUGCAUUGGAUUAUGUACUAUAGAAAUUCAACAGAGAAAUCCUCUGAAGCUGUGCCCCUGUUACAAUUUGCUGCAAAUCAUAUUUUGGAUUUUAAAGACAGGCUUUAUUCUGGAGGUGAUAUCCACUUGUAUUGCAACUGUACAGAGAAUUCUAAACUACAGUGCCUUCAAUGAAUAUGUAUAUAACUGGUUUGUAAUUAUGGAAUGACAUUUUUCCCUGUUUCAAAAUUGGCCUUUUAUUGCCUAAUUACAAAUAAAUGUGUGCUCUGAAAAGCCAUUUGGAAUUAACUGUAUUAGAACCAAAGACUUUACUAUAAGCUUGAAACAACUAGAAAUGAUCUGAGUAGUAACAAUAAAAAGGGCUUCUGGUUUGGGCUUUUAUAAAUUGUCAAUAACUUCUUAGAUUUUUUGAAAUUUAAGUACCUCUAUAGUACGGAUAUAGUUGCAAACGAAGUGUCUUUUACAGAUAGAGCUGUAUAAACAUGGCCAAAGCAUGUCAUGUGCUGAGUUGCCUAAAGUUGUACUGUACUUUUUACUUGCUAGGCACCAUAAUCAUUUUGUGUCAAAAACCAGACUGUAAUGUUUUCCUUCAUUUGUUGAAGGGUUACAUGUUCAUGAAAUCUGUUCACUUGUGAUUUUAUGGAGGUUUAUCUUACUGUUAUCAAAGUUAUGCAAUUAUCGCCUGUUUGAAGAUGAAGGAGAAAAAUGAAAGGCUGGAUUAUGGAAAUAAUAGACAAAAUCUCUUCCUUAUUUCUUUAUAGAAUUAAAUUUAGCUGCUUGAUGGCUUAUAUUCCAGUCAAAGACUGGCUUUAAAGUUGCAACUCUCUGGUGCCCUGUCACAGACAAAAGUAGAGCACCUCUCUUAAUUGGUUUAGCUCUACAGACAGCAGCUAAGUAUUCCACUGCUUGUCAGAGCUUUCAGGAUAGUCAGAAUGGGCUUAGAUUCUUUUUUUUUCUCUUUAAUCAGAAGAGUUUGGCCCUCCAAAUUGUUGAAGGACACUUGGCAUGGUGCAUGGAACAGUUACACAUCACUUCUCUGCCUACAACGUAUAACCUUUUUGGAAUAAAUGAAUGAAUUCAGUCUGUAGCCAGGAAUCGUGAACAGUCUAAAGUUGAAUUUGUGAUUUAAGAUGUAGUGAGAUCUUGUGCAUGACUUUGUUUUGAAGUGUAGAAGUGGUAUUACUCUGAUAGCUAGCUACUGUUAACACAAGGUCUUUUUCCAAAAGAGGUGGUACUUUUUUCUUCUAGAUUCUUUUCCAGGCUUAAUGCAGAAGUCAAAUGACCACAUACUGUUGAUUCUGUUGGCUCCAAUCUAAGCAUGGAAACAUAGACUAUAUUCUAAAAGAGUUAUCUAUUUACUUGUAUUUUAAAGACGUACUAUUAUGCAAGCUGUCAAGAAAACUAGGCUGUUUGUAAGCUACAAACGAGCAUGUGUUCAAUUUAAAUUUCCGUUCAGGAAAUAUGAAUUGAGUGUUUUUAGCUUAUCAGCACUAUAUGCUGUCAGACUGUAAAACAGUAAACUUGUUGAAUGAUUAAA